UUGCGACUCGAGCAAGAGCGUCACUACCACGCAGAAGAGCACAAGCAGGGCAAGAAGGCGGGCUUUCGAUAGCGUCAGAAGAGAAUAAAGUAGUCGACCUAAAUUAUUUUCCGUAGCGUAAUUAUCCUACCCCAGAGGGUGGUGCAGUAGUCAGAAUAAAUUAAUGAAGGAGGACAAAUUAAAUUGUGUAAGGUCUCAAGGCAUAUGUUUUAAAGUCUUGUAAAACAUGAUAAAUCAACCAGCAACCGACACGAAAAGCUUAGGCGAGAAGGAACCCGAACGUUUGGAGUUGUGCGUAAAAUAUGGAAAUGUUUUACUAUCAACGUUUUAUUGAAGUCAUUAGCUGCCAGAGAGACGGCGCAUAUCACAGAAGAAGGAGAAUAUCACAACAAUGAAGUGCGACUGGCAAAGCAGAGUGCCAAAGAGUACCUUUUGGUGACUGGCCAAAUAGGCACUUUAAUCAGGAGGUGCUUUAUGCACAGGAAGUAUUUCAGUAUCCUUGUUAGGGGAAUGAUUUAUCCUGACUUUUAAUUAUCAACCUGACCUGAUCUGGGUCAAGCAAGAAAAUAUUUGUCAUCAGUGCCUUCUUUGUUUUGCUUGGUCGUUAUUACUGAAAUGUAAAUGGACUUGUUCUUAAUUUCAAAGUUAUGUGAGGCAGGGCUGUUUAUACCGUCCCAACAGUCCAGGGAUGAGAAUAUAUUUCGACAGGUUGCUCAGCUGCAGCUUUUAGCUUCAUCUGCAGUCCUUGAUAGCAGGCUUAGUUAAAAGCAUUGGGGCAAGGUCACGCGGUAACGGAGUCACACUCCCACUAUAAAAACGGCCAUAUCUUUUUAAUAUGUGUCAUGGAGCCAUAUGGGAGUCUUUAAAUGCAUACAAUUAAGAUGUAUUAUUUCGUUUCUGGGCAGGUGUGACUCCAUCAAGCACUAAUCAUUUUUUGGCAUUAAAUAUAUAUUUGAACAAUUACUUGUUAGUAUUGCACUAACUAGUAUGGCACUAAAAAAAUGAUACACACACACACACACGCACACAAUCGUUAAAGAUACAAUAUGUAACAUUUUGGGUGAUCUGACAAAAUUCACAUAGAAGUGCAGG
rnacentral:lncRNA from 1 species